rfam:Gossypium hirsutum cultivar TM-1 chromosome 10, whole genome shotgun sequence
UAUUAAAAAUUUCAUCCAUUUUUAUUGUUAGAAACUGGCUUGAUUGAUAGAAUAACCAAACAUUCAUAUGUGGCAAUGUGUACCUCAUUCUGACGUAUAGGGAUCAGUUUUUAACAAUAGAAAUGGAUGGAAUUUUUAAUA